UACGGAAGGGGCUAGCGUUGUUCGGAAUUACUGGGCGUAACGAGCGCGUAGGCGGCUUACCAAGUUGGGGGUGAAAUCCCGGAGCUCAACUCCGGAACUGCCUUCAAAACUGGUAGGCUCGAGUCCGGAAGAGGGGCGUGGAAUUCCCAGUGUAGAGGUGAAAUUCGUAGAUAUUGGGAAGAACACCGGUGGCGUAGGCGGCGCCCUGGUCCGGUACUGACGCUGGGGCGCGAAAGCGUGGGGAGCAAACAGG
rnacentral:rRNA from 1 species